rnacentral:rRNA from 1 species
GAAUCUUGCGCAAUGGGCGAAAGCCUGACGCAGCAACGCCGCGUGUGUGAUGAAGGCUUUCGGGUCGUAAAGCACUGUCAGGAGGGAAGAAUAUUGACGGUACCUCCAGAGGAAGCACCGGCUAACUCCGUGCCAGCAGCCGCGGUAAUCCGGAGGGUGCAAGCGUUGUUCGGAAUUAUUGGGCGUAAAGCGCGCGCAGGCGGCUGGCAAAGUCUGGUGUGAAAGCCCGGGGCUCAACCCCGGAAUGGCACUGGAAACUGGUCAGCUUGAGUCCGAGAGGGGUAUGUGGAAUUCCUGGUGUAGGAGUGAAAUCCGUAGAGAUCAGGAGGAACACCGGUGGCGAAGGCGACAUACUGGAUCGGAACUGACGCUGAGGCGCGAAAGCGUGGGGAGCAAACAGG